rnacentral:rRNA from 1 species
ACUUUCAACAACGGAUCUCUUGGCUCUCGCAUCGAUGAAGAACGUAGCGAAGUGCGAUAAGUAAUGUGAAUUGCAGAAUUCCGUGAAUCAUCGAAUCUUUGAACGCAAAUUGCACUCUCUGGUAACCCGGGGAGUAUGCCUGUUUGGGGGUCAGUGU